GCCGGGACUUGAACCUGAUGGAACAUCUCUGCAGAGACCUGAAAUAGCUGUGCUGCGACGCUCCCCAUCCAACCUGACAGAGCUGGAGAGGAUCUACAGAGAAGAAUGGGAGAAACUCCCCAAAUACAGGUGUGCCAAGCCUGUAGCUUCAUACACAAGAAGACUUGAGGCUGUAAUCGCUGCCAAAGGUGCUUCAACAAAGUACUUAGUAAAUGGUCUGAAUACAGCCCCAGAGCUCCAGAUAACUAGUGGAAGAAUGUUAAUGUCUCUGCUAUGUGGUGAACUGAACUCUACAGUGCCAGGCCAUGACGCAGU
ensembl:lncRNA